UGCAGUGUCUCUGGGUUGAUAAUACUG
rnacentral:piRNA from 1 species